rnacentral:rRNA from 1 species
UCUUCGGGGAUGAUUAAACCGGCGCACGGGUGAGUAACACGUGAGUGACCUGCCUUUUAGACUGGAACAACUUACCGAAAGGUGAGCUAAUGCCGGAUGAGUUAUAUAAGUGCAUGUUUAUAUAGGAAAAGUUGGGGAGACCUGACGCUGAAAGAUGGACUCGCGUCCCAUUAGCUAGUUGGUAGGGUAAUGGCCUACCAAGGCGACGAUGGGUAGCCGGCCUGAGAGGGUGGCCGGCCACACUGGGACUGAGACACGGCCCAGACUCCUACGGGAGGCAGCAGUGGGGAAUUUUGCGCAAUGCUCGUAAGAGUGACGCAGCGACGCCGCGUGAAUGACGAAGGCCUUCGGGUCGUAAAGUUCUUUCGACAGGGAAGAAAAUGCCUAUAAGUAACUGUGUAUGUAUUGACGGUACCUGUAUAAGCAGCCCCGGCUAACUCCGUGCCAGCAGCCGCGGUAAUACGGAGGGGGCGAGCGUUGUUCGGAGUGACUGGGCGUAAAGAGCACGUAGGCGGUGUUGUAAGUCAUUAGUCAAAGACUAGAGCUCAACUUUAGUAAGGCUAGUGAUACUAUAAUACUAGAGUAUCAGAGAGGAUUGCAGAAUUCCUGGUGUAGCGGUGAAAUGCGUAGAUAUCAGGAGGAAUACCGUUAGCGAAGGCGGCAAUCUGGCUGGAAACUGACGCUGAGGUGCGAAAGCGUGGGUAGCAAACAGGAUUAGAUACCCUGGUAGUCCACGCUGUAAACGAUGGAUGCUAGGU